CAGGAAAAUAAAUUUCUGGGACGAAUAGGAUUCUCAAGCAUGAUUAGAAAAGACACAAAUAAAUAACUCUUAUUAGUGAAAUGGAUUUUGAAUUUACUAUAUCAAAUUUACAAAGAGAGAAGAAGCUCAGCAUAACAGAAUAGUACUAUACUUGCUAAAUUCAGUGCCUAUAGUAUAUAUUCAUAGUUAAUUGAUCUUCUAAAAGCUACAUCUAAUAGAACUCUUAAGACAGAUCAUAUAAAGAGAGUCCUUCAAAUACUGGAAAAAGAGCACGCUCGCAGUGAGUGUGCCUCCAGGACAAACCCACCCUGGCCUUUCUAGGACAACUUGAUUCUGUGUUUGUUCCUUAGGGUAAGGGCAUCUCAGGCAGAGUGCAGUGAUCCCAUAGGACUUGGGCCCUCACAUUGUCCUUUUUUUUUUUUUUUUUUUUUUUUUGAGAUGGUGUUUUACUUUUG
rnacentral:lncRNA from 10 species